rnacentral:tRNA from 1 species
GUUUUAAUAAUUUAAUGAAAAUAUUGGUCUUGUAAACCAAAUUUAAGGGGAGCCUUUUAAAACU